UAUCAUACCUACAACUCCUAUAUUUGGAAAAGUCUCGUUAAGGCAUACCCCCUAUUUCAUAAAGGGAUCUCAUGGAACGUGGGUGACGUCACAAAAAUCCAUCUAUAGAAUGAAAGAUGGAUCGAAGGGUCAUACACUCUUCGUGAAGUUAUCCACAGCCCGAUAAAUAAGACAGAUACUAAGCUUGUAGUGUCGGAUAUAAUGAAUAACAAUGUUUGGAACUUAACUCAUGUCUUCUUUGAAAUACCCUGCGAAAUUAUAAACUCUAUUCAAAAUACCUAUAUCCAAGUCUCUACACAAAAAAAUGAUGUUUAUUACUAGAACCAAAAUAUCAAUGGGAAAUUUAGCACUAACAACGCCUAUAAACUCUUCUUAAAAGCAAAUAACGACCUUCUUAUAAGUCUUCCAAAUACUUAUACUUGGAUUUGGAAACUCAGGACUUUAAACAAAAUAAAAUUCUUUAUUUAGCUUCUUCUUCUCAAUAAACUCCCUACCUCCUCCUCACUUUUUUUUUAUAUAGAAAUAUCACCAAUCACAGAAAUUGUAUUAGUUGCCCUAAUAGAGAUGAAACUACUAUUCGCAUCUUUGCAAGCUGCCAUGUUGCUACUACAAUCUGGAAUAAGUUCAACAUAAAUAUAGAUAGUAAUGACUUUGACAACAAUAUUAUCUAUCGCCUAUGCCACUCCAAGACCAUGUCCAGAACUAGAAACAAUCUUAGAAUGCCUACAACCAUUCUAACACCAAUUAUUUUUUGGAAUAUUUAGAAAACAAGAAAUAGUAACGUGUUUAAACCUCACCCUCCAAAUAACAUUACCAAAAUAAUUCAAAACAUAUCUUUUUCAAGCACUUUAAUUCCUUCAUAUUUCUAAUCCUUCGAAAAAAAAUCAUCCAAAACAAUCGAUCCCUAUCACAUGGUCUAAACCCCCUGAUGAAUACUUCAAGUUGAACAUUGACGGAUCUUUUGAGCCUAAAACAACGAAUGGAGGUAUCGAAGGAGUAAUAAGGAACCAAGCAGGAGAGUGGAUAACAGGGUUUGCUUGUAAAACCAAAGUGGAAAGUGUGUACCAUGCAUAACUAUUAGCCUUAUUACAUGGACUGACUCUUGCUAAAGAAAAAAUAUAAAACAUUUAUUGGUGGAAACAGGUACUACUAAACUCUCUAAAUAAUGAUAAUGCUAUAUACUCACAUAUCUGUGCUGACUGCAGGUCAUUGCUCCAACAACUGGACGAACCAUCAUUGAAUCAUAUACCGAGGGAGGCUAAUGGAGUAGCUGACGAACUAGCGGAAUACGGAAGGAAGUCAAAUGAUCCAACUAUGACUCUAAAUUAUGUUUAUAUUUUUUAUGCAUCUCCUUCCCUCGUUACGACUUGUCUUGAUAGAGAUGCUAAUGAAAAUGUCUCAUAUAGAACCGUUCCCUUUUGUAUGGAUGAACCUUAGUAUUAAAUAAAAUCCCUUCUUCCUAAGGAAAAAAAAAGAGAUACUUAUUUUGCCACAUUAACAUUUUAUUUUUAGUAGAUACAUGUUUUGAAUUAUGCGGGUAGAUGACUUCUAUCGCAUAACAUUUUUCAAUCGUGCCAUACAGCAACAAGAUUUUAGGGUUUUACAUAAACCCUAUCAAAAUUGGCAUCAACACUCUAUUUGGCUUUGCCUAAAUCCAUCAAUGGAGGCACUAAACGAAUGUACUGCGAAUUAGGUUGUGUAUUUACAUCCAUCGAAGGCCAAAAAGGUUGAGGCCGCUGUUUAUCGCGAACUCAGCUCUCUUCUUUUCAAGUUUAAUGAAGCUUUAGAUGGUGUGGUGUUGACUUAUGAACCGAAGUUCAGUAGCAAUUUGGCUAAAAUUCUUCCAGGAAUUCACCCUUAUUUUGGUGUGAGAUUUGAAGCAAAGUUGCUAAAUGCUAUUAGAAGGUGAGGUCGUUAAAGUUGGCCAACAGUCUAUUCACAUAAUUGUUCUUGGUUUAUCUUCUGCCGUCAUCGCAGAUGAGGACAUUCAAGAAGAUUUCAAGUAUAAAAUUAAACACGGGAAAGAAGUUUUUGUCAGCAAAUCUCACAAGAAUCACAGGAUCAAAGUGGGAACUACUCUACGAUUCGUAG